AAACUAACAAGGAUUCCCCUAGUAACGGCGAGUGAAGCGGGAAGAGCUCAAAUUUGAAAUCUGGCACUUUCAGUGUCCGAGUUGUAAUCUCGAGAAGUGUUUUCCGCGCUGGACCGCAUAUAAGUCUGUUGGAAUACAGCGUCAUAGUGGUGAGAACCCCGUAAAUGAUGCGGACGCCCAGUGCUUUGUGAUACACUUUCGAAGAGUCGAGUUGUUUGGGAAUGCAGCUCAAAUUGGGUGGUAAAUUCCAUCUAAAGCUAAAUAUUGGCGAGAGACCGAUAGCGAACAAGUACCGUGAGGGAAAGAUGAAAAGCACUUUGGAAAGAGAGUUAACAGUACGUGAAAUUGUUGGAAGGGAAACGCUUGAAGUCAGACUUGCUGUUUGGAAUUCAGCCGCAAGGUGUACUUUUCAGAUAUGCAGGCCAGCAUCAGUUUUUGGGGGUGAAAAAGGGUAUUGAGAAGGUAGCAGUUUCGGCUGUGUUAUAGCUCUUUACUGGAUUCAUCCUUGGGGACUGAGGAACGCAGCUCACUUUUUGCACGACCCUC
rnacentral:rRNA from 1 species